rnacentral:rRNA from 1 species
ACAAGCGGUGGAGCAUGUGGUUUAAUUCGAAGCAACGCGAAGAACCUUACCAGGUCUUGACAUCCCCUGACAACCGAGAGAUCGGGCGUUCCCCUUCGGGGGACAGGGUGACAGGUGGUGCAUGGUUGUCGUCAGCUCGUGUCGUGAGAUGUUGGGUUAAGUCCCGCAACGAGCGCAACCCUCGACCUUAGUUGCCAGCAUUCAGUUGGGCACUCUAAGGUGACUGCCGGCUAAAAGUCGGAGGAAGGUGGGGAUGACGUCAAAUCAUCAUGCCCCUUAUGACCUGGGCUACACACGUGCUACAAUGGGCGGUACAAAGGGUCGCGAACCCGCGAGGGGGAGCCAAUCCCAUAAAGCCAGUCGUAGUCCGGAUCGUAGUCUGCAACUCGACUACGUGAAGUCGGAAUCGCUAGUAAUCGUGGAUCAGAAUGUCACGGUGAAUACGUUCCCGGGUCUU